AACAUCGCGCACCUGCGGGAACCUGCGGAAGGAUCAUUAUCGAGUUUACAACUCCCAAACCCCUGUGAACAUACCAAUCGUUGCCUCGGCGGGACCGCCCCGGCGCCCCCGGGCCCGGACCCAGGCGCCCGCCGGAGGACCCCCAAACUCACUUGAUUCCACGGUGUAUCUUCUGAGUGACACAAGCAAAUAAAAUCAAAACUUUCAGCAACGGAUCU
rnacentral:misc_RNA from 1 species